CAAAGCUCCAGGACGAUUUUCCCACCCAUGUUGGCGUGUGUAACGGCCCCCCACAGUCACGGCACUGAACAUGGCCACCACCACAAGUGCCUAGUGUUGUGCUACCCUUUUACAGCCAGCGCCCCUCCCUCCUGCCCGGGCCCCCCUGCGUUGUAUUUAUGGCUGCAUUUUGUCCUGUCUUGUGGAUGUUCCAUGACUGACAGACAGGCUGAACAAAGGGUGUGCAAAGAAGCCCAGAGCAGGAGAGAAGGCUCCCCAGCCUGGCUCUUGGUCGGCACAGUCGCAGGCUGGCUCUGCCUCUCUUGGCUGCACUGUCCUGAAGCAGGAAAUAUGAGAAAAACAAGUAAAGGGAAAACAAGUCCAGUUGGAGCUAUGAUAACAUUAUCUGCAAGGCCAGGCAGGGGCCCCAAAGAAAUGGGAUCCAAGAGCAGGGACAAGAAAAACAAGUUCUUAGUCUCCCCCUGGAAUUAUUUCCCCAUGCUAUCAUUCUUUGUUCUUCUCUUAUAACUAUUUUUGUAACUAUUUCUGCAAGUUUGCAAGGAUUUUAUAAGUUCAUGUUUUCCCAUCUAUGCAGGAUGGCAAAGGUCACAAGACAUGCCUGAAUUGCAAAACCUGUCACAGUUUGAUUAACUGCCUUUGUUCUGCUUCUGUAAGCUCGCCUUCCCCACCCUGCAAGUUUUGCACCACUGGCUAGCCACUCCCCUUCAGUCGCCUGAAUAAAAGUCAAGCCUGAUCUUUGUUCAUUGCUCAGCCUCUGGAUAUUAAUCCGCUGGGCCAGUGGCCACCUAAAUAAAAUCCUCCUAUUUCA
rnacentral:lncRNA from 1 species